ensembl:lncRNA
AUAAACAAAGUCAUCGACAUAAGUCUACAUCUGGUGAUUUGCAAAAGGUGCCGUAAGAAGCCAUUCUACAUAGUUUUAUUUGCUAAUGAAGGAUUUCUUGUAGGCCUUAUAAAGCAUGAAGGCUUCAUUAAAGGGUGACCGCACUUCCUGAUUAUUUAAAUUUGGUCAGCAAGGGAGAGCCGAAGCCAAAGGAUUUACUCAAAAUCUGUCCGUGUGAGAUGAGCACUUUUUUUGGUGGGAAAAGUUAUCCAAAUAAUUUUGCCAAUUAGCUUCGGCAGGCUGGUGUGCAACCAUGGCAAAGUUGUUGGUUUGACUUUAGAUAGCUCCAUGGCUAGUUAGGCACUAUCAAUAAAUUAUAAUGUAAAUUAGAAAAUAUUUCAUGUUGGAUUCUUUUCAGUUUUCUCAUGAAAUGUUUUUUAUAUUUGUAUAUUAGUUUCUACAAUUUAUAGUUGGUUUGAGGUUUUUAAGUCAUUGGAAUUUGGCGCUAUUAUAAUUUUAACAUCUAAAUUACCUAUGGUCCCGAACCAAUCCCAUCGGGAUAUCCAAAGACAACCCAAAUGUACCACAGGUAUUACGAUUGGGUCGUGUGCAGCUGCACUCCGAAUUGACGAUUACCUGUGUGCUACCAGCUGUGGGCAUGUGGGCAGGAUUGAAACAAAUCCAACCCAGAGAGGAAGAGGUGAAGCCAGAGGCUCAACUCGGCCCAAAAUCGGUCUCCUCCAGCAGGUGCCGUUUUUGCGCCCACCAAACGAGGAGUUUUUGUUUGAAGUUCAAUGAGUGUUGAAUUUGGUAAACAAAAAAUGUGACGUUUUGUAAUGCUUAGGUUGUUACCAGUGUACUGAUUGAUAUAAGUAUGAAAACGUAACGUCCUGGCAACUGAACAAACAACAACUUUAUAUCGGAGUUAGUUGUGCCUGUUGGUCACAAGCGUAUCGGCCCUCUCAUUGACUAGAAUGGUCCCACUUGAUCUCGCCUCCUCCCCGACUGCCUUCCAUCUUCGAGGACUUGUAUUUCCAUUGUUAGAGUGAGCACUUGAUCAGCUGGUCAAUAUAAUAGAUAAUUUGUGGUCAUUCUUAAUUUACGUUGUGGUGCAGUCACAACCACAAGCCUCACAGACGAGACUGACUUUAUGACCAAAAUUGACCUCUUUACAAUUUGUAGUACAUUUUGAUGGUAGAAUACAUGUUUCAGACUCAUAUCGAUGCCACAAGUUCGUUUUUAGAGUUGCUCUUCAAGCCUUAAGUUACACUUCAUUUAAAGUUGAUGAAGUGCUGUCUUUAUUUGGCCUGGUAAUUUCUAAAGAUGUAUGGAG